rnacentral:lncRNA from 1 species
CUCCUUCAAAAUGCAGCUUGACUGUGAUUCAUGGCAAAAAGCUGGAAUAAUCCUGCCAGGUCUUAGACGCUUUAAGAUUAAUAGCAUUGAACUCGAUACAUAUAAAACAGCACCUUGAAAAUGAAUCAUCUGCUAAUUCAGUAUUUUCUAAUCACAAUCACUCCCUCUGGGGGCAUGUAAUUAAUUUACUGAGUUUAAAAAAAAAGUCAGGAUUACUCACACAGUCUUGAAGAUGCAAUGUCAGCUAUUUAGGACAAACACCCAAGGCCGUGUUAGAACUCAAUUACGACUACAUAUGCGUUAAAGCAGGAACUGGCAGGCCUCUGGACUACAGCAACUAUAGGACUCGUGCUUCUCGUACGCUGGGCUAUAAUUUAUGAAAACUGAGCCCCAGAUCCAGCCAAUCAUUUAGCUCCUCAUAACAAGUCUAACUGGCUCUGGAAAGCUGAAAGGACUGCGCUAGAACAACAAAGAUGAGAUAUUCCACACAAUAAUCUGCUUAUCUGGAAUCACUUUCCCUUGCCAGGCCAGAGAGAAAUCGCAGCUUCAUCGUCUGAGGAAAGGAGGACAGAUGACCCUGGAAAAUGCAACGACACCUGGAGCAAGAGCUUUUCCUGGCUUGGCAAUCCUAACAGUGCCGGCAUUAAAGGAGAGGGCUGCCCCUGGAAACCGAAGGGCAGCUACAGCAGUGAAAACCGGAGAUAAUUGAAUUCAACUUGAGAUUUGACACUAAGAAGAAAAAUAUGGCGAUACAUAGAGAACAGAAAAAGUAAUCCAUUGGCAGUUCCCCACAAGUGCUGCUGCCUACAGUGACUAUGUGAGAACCGAACCUUCUGAGGAAGCCAGCUCUGCCUUUUGAAUAGAGAACGAAGAGCUCCGCAUCCCGGGCGGCAUUUCAAGGUUUGAUUCAUCAGGCAAGUUCUCAAGGCUCAAUGUUGAUGGAUAGAUCCGCCCUGGAGCCAACGUUAAAGCCAGACCUUAGAUUUAUGAAAAUAAACCAAAACAAGCGAUGAGACAUUUUGAAAUGUAGAAACUAAGAGGAAAGAACAAGACUUCCCUUAGGAUCUGGGGAGCCGGGGAAAUGCAAGUGUUACCAUCCUCAGUUCAACAACCAACAGAAAAACUCAUGUCACCUAAGCACAAGGUGUGAACUGCUGCCAGGCCCGCACCUGACUUUUUUAGUUACUCUCCUUGCAUGCAGUGAAUGACUCUCUGGGUCACAUCGUCCUAAAGUCUGUGACACAAAAAGA